rnacentral:lncRNA from 1 species
CAAAAAGCAAAAAGAAAAAUUAAAAGCUAAAAAUUAAAAUAGAAAACAACACCAAAACUAAAAGUGUCAAUCCCGCAAAAGUUCCAAAAGUUCUUCAUAAGGAAUGAGGGGGCAGUGAACCCUUAGAGCGGGUGUGAUAAGUCCCGACGCUUUUUGCUAGCCAUUGUUGAUGUUUCUUAGCUUUUUUUGAGAUAUAUGGCGUGAAACCCUUCCUCACAUCCUUCACUUGUCCUGUUAGCCCAAGCUUGUUGUAUUUUCUCCAUAUCAUCAAUUACCAUCCGCGACGAUUGUAUUUCAGAAACAAUGUAGGAGUCAACAUCAGAAUGAACUUGGUGCAACUCGUUCUCGACAUAAAUCACAUGGCCUGCCUCGCGAUUUGGUGCAAGUUGAGCAAUUUAAGGAACCAACAAUAUCUCAUUGUCUUGCUCUUGUUCCUCAUGAUCCUUUGUUAUAACUUAUGAACACUGAUAACCUCC